UGACGGUCCCCCCGCAAUGCCAGGUAGCAAACCCCGCCAGGCCCGGAAGGGAGCAACGGUAGUUACCAUGUCGUGUGCCGGGGUGUGGCUGUCGGGG
rnacentral:SRP_RNA from 1 species